ensembl:snoRNA small nucleolar RNA SNORA13
UGCCUUUAUGUGUUGCCCUUUCAUUGUUUUUAAUGAUAGGGGUGUCAAAUAAGGCAUACAGCGACACCUGCUGUCAUCUGUGUGAAGGGUUUCCACUGACUCUUCAACACCAGUGGCAGCAGGGACAAAC